rnacentral:rRNA from 1 species
GAUGAACGCUGGCGGCGUGCCUAAUACAUGCAAGUCGAGCGAACGGACGAGAAGCUUGCUUCUCUGAUGUUAGCGGCGGACGGGUGAGUAACACGUGGAUAACCUACCUAUAAGACUGGGAUAACUUCGGGAAACCGGAGCUAAUACCGGAUAAUAUUUUGAACCGCAUGGUUCAAAAGUGAAAGACGGUCUUGCUGUCACUUAUAGACGGAUCCGCGCUGCAUUAGCUAGUUGGUAAGGUAACGGCUUACCAAGGCAACGAUGCAUAGCCGACCUGAGAGGGUGAUCGGCCACACUGGAACUUAGACACGGUCCAGACUCCUACGGGAGGCAGCAGUAGGGAAUCUUCCGCAAUGGGCGAAAGCCUGACGGAGCAACGCCGCGUGAGUGAUGAAGGUCUUCGGGUCGUAAAACUCUGUUAUUAGGGAAGAACAUAUGUGUAAGUAACUGUGCACAUCUUGACGGUACCUAAUCAGAAAGCCACGGCUAACUACGUG